AGUGAACGCUGGCGGCGUGCCUAAUACAUGCAAGUCGAACGGAGAUUAAGUAGCUUGCUAUUUAAUCUUAGUGGCGCACGGGUGAGUAAUAUAUAGCUAACUUGCCCAUUACUAAGGGACAACAGUUGGAAACGACUGCUAAUACCUUAUACUCCGUAUCUAUAUAAGUAGAUACGGGAAAGUUUUUCGGUAAUGGAUAGGGCUAUAUCGUAUCAGCUAGUUGGUAAGGUAAUGGCUUACCAAGGCUAUGACGCGUAACUGGUCUGAGAGGAUGAUCAGUCACACUGGAACUGAGACACGGUCCAGACUCCUACGGGAGGCAGCAGUAGGGAAUAUUGCUCAAUGGGGGAAACCCUGAAGCAGCAACGCCGCGUGGAGGAUGACACUUUUCGGAGCGUAAACUCCUUUUCUUGGGAAAGAAUUAUGACGGUACCCAAGGAAUAAGCACCGGCUAACUCCGUGCCAGCAGCCGCGGUAAUACGGAGGGUGCAAGCGUUACUCGGAAUCACUGGGCGUAAAGGACGCGUAGGCGGAUUAUCAAGUCUCUUGUGAAAUCUAACGGCUUAACCGUUAAACUGCUUGGGAAACUGAUAAUCUAGAGUAAGGGAGAGGCAGAUGGAAUUCUUGGUGUAGGGGUAAAAUCCGUAGAGAUCAAGAAGAAUACCCAUUGCGAAAGCGAUCUGCUGGAACUUAACUGACGCUAAUGCGUGAAAGCGUGGGGAGCAAACAGG
rnacentral:rRNA from 1 species